AUUGAACGCUGGCGGCAGGCCUAACACAUGCAAGUCGAGCGGAUGACGGGAGCUUGCUCCUUGAUUCAGCGGCGGACGGGUGAGUAAUGCCUAGGAAUCUGCCUGGUAGUGGGGGACAACGUUUCGAAAGGAACGCUAAUACCGCAUACGUCCUACGGGAGAAAGCAGGGGACCUUCGGGCCUUGCGCUAUCAAAUGAGCUUAGGUCGGAUUAGCUAGUAGGUGAGGUAAUGGCUCACCUAGGCGACGAUCCGUAACUGGUCUGAGAGGAUGAUCAGUCACACUGGAACUGAGACACGGUCCAGACUCCUACGGGAGGCAGCAGUGGGGAAUAUUGGACAAUGGGCGAAAGCCUGAUCCAGCCAUGCCGCGUGUGUGAAGAAGGUCUUCGGAUUGUAAAGCACUUUAAGUUGGGAGGAAGGGCAGUAAGUUAAUACCUUGCUGUUUUGACGUUACCGACAGAAUAAGCACCGGCUAACUCUGUGCCAGCCGCCGCCGUAAAAC
rnacentral:rRNA from 1 species